rnacentral:rRNA from 1 species
GACGAACGCUGGCGGCGUGCUUAACACAUGCAAGUCGAACGAGAGCGUAGAGAAAGCUUGCUUUUUCUACAAUCUAGUGGCAAACGGGUGAGUAACGCGUAAACAACCUGCCCUACGGAUGGGGACAACAGCUGGAAACGGCUGCUAAUACCGAAUACGUUCCGAAAGUCGCAUGACUAUCGGAAGAAAGGAUGGCCUCUAUUUAUAAGCUAUCGCCGGAGGAGGGGUUUGCGUCUGAUUAGCUAGUUGGAGGGGUAACGGCCCACCAAGGCGACGAGCAGUAGCCGGUCUGAGAGGAUGAACGGCCACAUUGGAACUGAGACACGGUCCAGACUCCUACGGGAGGCAGCAGUGGGGAAUCUUCCGCAAUGGGCGAAAGCCUGACGGAGCAACGCCGCGUGAGUGAAGACGGCCUUCGGGUUGUAAAGCUCUGUUAUACGGGACGAAUAAUCUUGUGGUUAAUACCCAUGAGAAGUGACGGUACCGUAAGAGAAAGCCACGGCUAACUACGUG